CGCUCUGCGCAUGCGCUGAAGUAUAAACAGGUAACAGGUGAACAUGCGAGUCAGAAUCAUAGACUGUAUGGGUCAGAAUAUAAUAUUUAGAGUUCAUAUGAACAACUUUACUGUAUCUGAACUCGGACUGGAUUCAUUCAGAUAAACCAAAAUUAGAGUAUGUUAGGGUUAUGCGACGUUGUCACCUCGUGGCCACGUUGAACCCAUAACAAACGUGUCGUCCACACAAAUAUUCUGCUAUUUAACGUAAACGUUAAAUAACGUUUUAAUAAAACCGAUAAUCGAUCACAAAACAUUAUUAGUGAGGGAAGCGGUGAUGACUAGACAUCAAAUAUGAGCACCUGUGUUGUCUUUUUAUAUUAAUACAUAAUUCCGAUUCAUGUAAAUCUUUAAGCAACGUGUUAUGGACGUCGAGUCGACCACUUAUAUAUUUAACAGUUGCUAAAUGUGAUACCAGGAACACAAUUGUACCAAUAAAUAUAGAUAUGUUUUCUU